rnacentral:rRNA from 1 species
AGAGUUUGAUCAUGGCUCAGGACGAACGCUGGCGGCGUGCUUAACACAUGCAAGUCGAACGAGAUCCUUCGGGGUCUAGUGGCGAACGGGUGAGUAACACGUGAGCAACCUGCCCUUGGCUCUGGGAUAGCCUCCGGAAACGGGGAUUAAUACCGGACAGGACUCCUCUCUGCAUGGAGGGGGGUGGAAAGUUUUUCGGC